GCUGAGUGGUCAAGUGUAUCAGAAAUAAAGCAAGCCGAUGCAUGUGGCAUGGUUCAGUGGAUGGAGCACUUCAUUCUGAAUCUGAAAAAGUUCUCUCUCUGCCACUCGUAUUUUUUUUUCUUUUCUCAGUGCUGAACAAUAUAUUUCAUCUUAAUUUAGGCAGCAAUGAGACAGGCUAUGUGCCUUUUAUUGAGAACUUUGAAAUUCAGUUGGUGUGUCAUCUUCUUCAGAUCAUCUCCCCGAGAACAUCUUAAAUUACAUGAUAACUGAGGAUGGAGGUCAUGGAGAGUGCAGAACCUUACAUCUGCUGCAGAAGUGCUGUGUUAUUCAUGCCCUGUUUCCUGCUGUCAGAAGAGCAAUCCCAUGAGACAAAUGUUCUCUACAGGACAGCACUACAAAACAAUGCCAGCACUGGAGCACAACUGAUGCCUGUCCUGCUGCAGCUGUAGGCUUCUCACCAACUUUAGGCAAUAUUCUGUUUCACAGGUGCUGGGCAGAGUGAUGCAGCCACAUCCAAGUGAUCCUACAUGAAGCCAGUGGGGGGUCUGGAUGGGCUUAUCCAGCCUGGUCUAGUGCAGCAUCUGCUGUGCCUGACCUGAGCUGGAUUGUGCUCUGGUACUGCCUGGCCCAGCAGUUGCAUGAAGAGAAAUUCAAUGAGGCUCUGAAGUGAUCUGCAGGCAGCCAGCCCAGCAGGGCUUGAUGAUUGCAGAAGUUUGAGGAUGGCAAGAUCUCACUGACAUGAUGCUCCUCCUGAUCUGGUGAAUCCAGCAGGACUGGAGCAACUGAGCCUGCUUUGGUUUGCAAUGAGGGCUGUGGCAAUGAAGUAGAUUUAUAAGAAACUGUCAGCCAUAGGUCAUUUAAGCUGUCACCACAUUAGUUCUGACACUGACGGUGCCAACACAACCUAAGUUUGGGGGUUUUUUUAAUUUUUUAUUGAGUAGAUUCUUGGCUUGGGAAAGAUAAAGCAAGCAACAGAUAAGGUUUUGUGCAGGGGCUAUUUUUCUUCCCUUUCCUUAACCAAAAAACUCCAAACCAAACCAUGUCUCUCCAGAAAUCCAAGAUAAAAUCUGCUUAGGCAAAAAGAUAUUAUGCUGAUAAAGCAGAGUGCUUGAAAGAAAGGUGUAUUCAUUAUCUUUAGAACAGAUGGGGAUCAGCAGGAAAGUUUUAAUGGACUACAAAACCUGUAAAGUUUUUUGAAUUCGUGAUUAUACCGUCUUGUAAAACUCGUAAUUGCCUCAAAGAGUAAUGAGUGGGCCUAAAACACAUUCACAUCAGUAGAAAUGUGCACGGAAUUUAAUACACCCUGAGUCAGAAUUAACUUGGAUAUGUUGAAUUUUAAUGUUAAACGAUCCUUCUCAUAAAACAUUUCAAAAGCAGAAAGCUGAAUUCUGAAGAGAAAAAGGCAUAGAAACAAAGCAGGUCUCUGGUAGCUAUUAAUUUGUGAGACAGCACUUAGAGAAUACUUCCUUGUAGAGUCACGUUGAAAACAAAGUGAAAAAAAUGGACUCGAAGUUGCAGGGCUGCAAUGUAAUGUGUGCAAUGAUUCAUGUGUAUUGUUAUGAAGGUGUUGGAAUAAAAUAAAGGAACUGAAUGUUCUCAUUGGAAUUCCCUUGAUAGAUUAGGAGGCAAAUAGUUGUCUAAGUAAAGGAUGGUAUCAGAAAAGAAAUGCAAUAAAUCAUCAGAUCUUUUCAACAGAGCCAUCAUUUCAUCUUGCGGAUAAUUCGGGACAGAAAAAGUGAGGUCAUACAUUAGAGACACGUUUUUCAUUCUCCCUUUGUUCUAAAGGAGAUAUCAGCAGGUAUAAAAUCCAGACUAGUUCUCAAUUCUCUUU